GACGAACGCUGGCGGCGUGCUUAACACAUGCAAGUCGAACGGUGAAGCGCCUUCCUUUUUGGUGGGUGUGGAUGAGUGGCGAACGGGUGAGUAACACGUGAGUAACCUGCCCCCUUCUUCUGGAUAACCGCAUGAAAGUGUGGCUAAUACGGGAUAUUCUGGGUCUGUCGCAUGAUGGGUCUGGGAAAGAUAUUGUUUCGGUGGGGGAUGGGCUCGCGGCCUAUCAGCUUGUUGGUGGGGUGAUGGCCUACCAAGGCGGUGACGGGUAGCCGGCCUGAGAGGGUGGACGGUCACACUGGGACUGCGACACGGCCCAGACUCCGACGGGAGGCAGCAGUGGGGAAUAUUGCACAGUGGGCGCAAGCCUGAUGCAGCGACGCCGCGUGAGGGAUGGAGGCCUUCGGGUUGUGAACCUCUUUCGCCAGUGAAGCAGGCCUGCCUCGUUUGUGGGUGGGUUGACGGUAGCUGGAUAAGAAGCGCCGGCUAACUACGUG
rnacentral:rRNA from 1 species